CAGCAGCCGCGGGAAUACGAAGGGGGCUAGCGUUGCUCGGAAUUACUGGGCGUAAAGGGCGCGUAGGCGGGUCGUUUAGUCAGAGGUGAAAUCCCGGGGCUCAACCUCGGAACUGCCUUUGAUACUGGCGACCUUGAGGAUGGGAGAGGUGAGUGGAACUCCGAGUGUAGAGGUGAAAUUCGUAGAUAUUCGGAAGAACACCAGUGGCGAAGGCGACUCACUGGCCCAUUUCUGACGCUGAGGCGCGAAAGCGUGGGGAGCAAACAGGAUUAGAUACCCCAGUAGUCCCUGUCUCUUAUAC
rnacentral:rRNA from 1 species